AACAGUAAGAAUUCAAACGUUGUUUUUGGUAAAAAUAUUAAGAUAUUAUUACCAAAUUUUAAAUUUGUGACAGAAGUACAUAGAAAACAAGCGGCAUAUGGAUUUUAAAUGCAAUCUAAACAAAAACUCAGCCGAGGCAAAAUAGGUACUGUCGCAACAAGAAUACCGCUAACCGGACGCCUCGACUAAUUGGAACAACCUACUUGCCGCAAAAGGAGGAACCCAGUGAAUACGAGAGACAAAACCCAGUAGAAGUUGGCAUGCCCGAUGAUCUGCUCUUAAGGAUACGGUUGAACCAGAACAACUUGUAGACGACCUCCUAAUCUGCAGCAACCCAGACAUAUGGUAAAACCCGAGGUCAAGCACACCCACAAGACAGAGCCAUUAUUCAUGAAAGAGGAACCGUUGAGAAGUGCCACACCACCGCACCGGAAACUAAACAAACGGACAUAGUCUGCAUCACUCCACGAAAGAGCAGUCAGAAGCAUGCCUUGGAUCAGGCUCCUGAAGCAGGCCAGAACCGCACUCGCCGCCACAGAACGGAAGACCCAGGAUGACAAAGCCACAGAUCCUUAGUCCCAUGUGCCUUGACGCAGGAGAAGCGGACGUACUGCUCUGUUGGAGAUGAUGUUUUCACCAGACAGACCACCGUGGAGCCACCGACGGACCUAAAAGAACCAAGCGAGAAACAAGAGGCACGGUCGAAGAAACGCUCCCUCAGACCAGAACUUCGAAGCGUCACACCGGAACAGGCCCACGAGCUGCUCACACCCCAAGCGAGAAAGAGGAUGGAUGGCGUAGAAGAGAGAGAGCCUCACAAUCGACGCAAAGAUCUGGACCCCAUGCCAUUACACCCGACCGAGAAAAGCUUAUUCCCGCGAGUAUCCAAGCCUCGCCGCACUUCCAAGAACAGAACCAACAGAUCUGCAGUAAUGGUCAAGCCUCGGAACGGCGAGCAUAUCAGCAGAGAGAUAGACAGAGAAGCUUGAGGCGAAGAGAAGAAGAGAGCAGAGAAACGGAGGCGGAGCCAACGGCAAAGCAAAACCGCCGGUUGCCUAAAGUAGAUUUAGGGUUAUGACUUCACGGAAGAAAGAAAAGAGAGAAGAGAGAAGAGAGAGAUGAAAAACGGUUGAUCCUUAAUUCGGUUUGUGUAUGUCUAAUUCUUUGGUCAUGACGGGAUGAACUAUCAUUUAACAAUUUUUUUUGGUUCCUAUGCCAUAUUCACUAAAUUCACGUUCUUUAAUGUGAU
rnacentral:lncRNA from 1 species